GCCGGGCAUGGUGGUGUGUGCCUGUAAUCCUAGCUACUUGAGAGGCUGAGGCAGGAGAAUUGCUUGAGCCCAGGAGACAGAGGUUGCAGUGAGCAGAGAUUGUGCCACUGCACUCCAGCCUGGCCCACAGAGUGAGACUCUGUCUCUA
rfam:Callithrix jacchus chromosome 3, whole genome shotgun sequence